AUGAACGCUAGCUACAGGCUUAACACAUGCAAGUCGAGGGGCAGCGGGAUUGAAGCUUGCUUCAAUUGCCGGCGACCGGCGCACGGGUGAGUAACGCGUAUCCAACCUGCCCACCACUUGGGGAUAACCUUGCGAAAGUAAGACUAAUACCCAAUGACGUCUCUAGAAGACAUCUGAAAGAGAUUAAAGAUUUAUCGGUGAUGGAUGGGGAUGCGUCUGAUUAGCUUGUUGGCGGGGUAACGGCCCACCAAGGCGACGAUCAGUAGGGGUUCUGAGAGGAAGGUCCCCCACACUGGAACUGAGACACGGUCCAGACUCCUACGGGAGGCAGCAGUGAGGAAUAUUGGUCAAUGGGCGAGAGCCUGAACCAGCCAAGUCGCGUGAGGGAAGAAUGGUCUAUGGCCUGUAAACCUCUUUUGUCAGGGAAGAAUAAGGAUGACGAGUCAUUCGAUGCCAGUACUUGACGAAUAAGCAUCGGCUAACUCCGUG
rnacentral:rRNA from 1 species